rnacentral:rRNA from 1 species
UAGUCCACGCCGUAAACGAUGGAUACUAGCUGUCGGGACUUUUAGUCACGGCGGCCAAGCGAAAGUGAUAAGUAUCCCACCUGGGGAGUACGUUCGCAAGAAUGAAACUCAAAGGAAUUGACGGGGCCCGCACAAGCGGUGGAGCAUGUGGUUUAAUUCGAUGAUACGCGAGGAACCUUACCAGGGCUUAAAUGCAAGAUGACAGGUUUAGAGAUAGACUUUUCUUCGGACAUUUUGCAAGGUGCUGCAUGGUUGUCGUCAGCUCGUGCCGUGAGGUGUCAGGUUAAGUCCUAUAACGAGCGCAACCCCUACCGUUAGUUGCCAGCAUGUAAAGAUGGGGACUCUAACGGGACUGCCGGUGCAAACCGAGAGGAAGGUGGGGAUGACGUCAAAUCAUCACGGGCCCUUACGUCCUGGGGCUACACACGUGCUACAAUGGGCCGGUACAGAGAGCAGCCACUCCGCGAGGGGGGANCGGAAUCUACAAAACCGGGUCACAGUUCGGGAUCGGGGGUCU